AGGCUUAACACAUGCAAGUCGAACGAGGUUAGGGAGCUUGCUCCUGAUACCUAGUGGCGAACGGGUGAGUAAUGCUUAGGAAUCUGCCUAGUAGUGGGGGAUAACUACCCGAAAGGGUAGCUAAUACCGCAUACGACCUACGGGUGAAAGGGGGCUUUUAGCUCUCGCUAUUAGAUGAGCCUAAGUCGGAUUAGCUAGUUGGUGGGGUAAAGGCCUACCAAGGCGACGAUCUGUAGCUGGUCUGAGAGGAUGAUCAGCCACACUGGGACUGAGACACGGCCCAGACUCCUACGGGAGGCAGCAGUGGGGAAUAUUGGACAAUGGGCGAAAGCCUGAUCCAGCCAUGCCGCGUGUGUGAAGAAGGCCUUUUGGUUGUAAAGCACUUUAAGUAGGGAGGAAAAGCUAAUGGUUAAUACCCAUUAGCCCUGACGUUACCUACAGAAUAAGCACCGGCUAACUCUGUGCCAGCAGCCGCGGUAAUACAGAGGGUGCGAGCGUUAAUCGGAAUUACUGGGCGUAAAGCGAGCGUAGGUGGUUAUUUAAGUCAGAUGUGAAAGCCCCGGGCUUAACCUGGGAACUGCAUCUGAUACUGGAUAACUAGAGUAGGUGAGAGGGAAGUAGAAUUCCAGGUGUAGCGGUGAAAUGCGUAGAGAUCUGGAGGAAUACCGAUGGCGAAGGCAGCUUCCUGGCAUCAUACUGACACUGAGGUUCGAAAGCGUGGGUAGC
rnacentral:rRNA from 1 species